rnacentral:rRNA from 1 species
UGGAGUAUGUGGCUUAAUUCGAUGCAACGCGAAGAACCUUACCUGGCCUUGACAUGCAUUGUGUCGUCGGUGAAAGCCGGCUAGUCCUGGAAACAGGACGCUUGGCACAGGUGCUGCAUGGCUGUCGUCAGCUCGUUUCGUGAGAUGUUGGGUUAAGUCCCGCAACGAGCGCAACCCUUGUGGUCAGUUACUAACCGGCUUAGCCGGAGGACUCUGGCCAGACUGCCCUGUCAAACGGGGAGGAAGGUGGGGACGACGUCAAGUCAGUAUGGCCCUUAUGGCCAGGGCUGCACACGUACUACAAUGCCCGGUACAAUGUGAACCGAAACCGCGAGGUGGAGGAAAUCGCUCUUGAAAACCGGGCCCAGUUCGGAUUGGAGUCUGCAACUCGACUCCAUGAAGUCGGAAUCGCUAGUAAUGGCGUAUCAGCAACGACGCCGUGAAUACGUUCCCGGGUCUGUACACACCGCCCGUCACAUCAUGGAAGUCUCCUGUACCCGAAGCACGUU